rnacentral:lncRNA from 12 species
GCCAGUGCCAGUCUCAAAAUUGGGGUGACCCCAUUUGUCACCCCAUCAAAGGGCACUACAGAGGACUCCUCAAAUUCAAUGUGUGUCAAGAGAAAUCAAGUCCAAGCAAGGACUGAUGUUUACUCACACAUUCCCAACCCUCUCUUCUGCAGAGAGAAGAAUUUAUCUGCAAAAGAAACCCAAGCUCAAGAACCUUUUUGGCUAAAGUGCAAUUCUAAACUCCAGGUAGUGCACUCUGACUUACAACAAUUUGGGAGACAGCAAGGGUCAUAGAAUGGUUUGGGUUGGACAAGACCUUAAAAAUCAUCUCAUUCCACCCCCUGCCAUGAGCAGAGACACCUUCCACUAGAUGAAGU